AUUGAACGCUGGCGGAAUGCUUUACACAUGCAAGUCGAGCGGCAGCACGGGGGCAACCCUGGUGGCGAGCGGCGAACGGGUGAGUAAUACAUCGGAACAUGCCCAGUCGUGGGGGAUAACACUUCGAAAGAAGUGCUAAUACCGCACACGUCCUGAGGGAGAAAGCGGGGGAUCUUCGGACCUCGCGCGAUUGGAGUGGCCGAUGUCAGAUUAGCUAGUUGGUGGGGUAAAGGCCUACCAAGGCAACGAUCUGUAGCUGGUCUGAGAGGAUGAUCAGCCACACUGGGACUGAGACACGGCCCAGACUCCUACGGGAGGCAGCAGUGGGGAAUUUUGGACAAUGGGGGCAACCCUGAUCCAGCCAUUCCGCGUGAGUGAAGAAGGCCUUCGGGUUGUAAAGCUCUUUCGGCAGGAACGAAACGGCGAGCUCUAACAUAGCUUGCUAAUGACGGUACCUGAAGAAGAAGCACCGGCUAACUACGUGCCAGCCGCCGCGGUAAAAC
rnacentral:rRNA from 1 species